rfam:Chitinophaga ginsengisegetis strain DSM 18108 genome assembly, contig: LX61DRAFT_scaffold00002.2
ACUGGGCAUCGCCGAAAACCAGGUAAUAGAGUAGGCA